rnacentral:misc_RNA from 1 species
UAAAUAUUUGUUUAAGAGCAAUCACUAUUGCUGAAAGCAAAAACUUGCAUUGGUAGUACCCAGAAGGCUUAUCGCCUGAGAGGAUAAUGAAUACUUUCAUACUCCACAUAUGGUAUUGGCUCAUGUUUUACUCAUUCAAGCAGGCUUAUACACAAUACAAUGAACAAAGAGUGGUACAAGGUCAAUACUCAACCAUUUCGGUGUUAGUGUGACGAGCAGCACCGGAGCGGGAGGACUUGUGUCGGUUUUACUCAGCCAUUACGUACCUGCGAACAGCAUGAUAUUUGUGAAAAAUUUGAGGUUAUUCUACUUCCAAAACGUUUUGUUUGCCAUGUUAUUUUCCGAAAUAUUCAGUGUAUCUUACCAACCAGAAUCAAGGCGAGUGAAUAAAUGUUGAUCAAUGGCUUGAAAAUGUCUCAUUUCUGUCACUUUUCUGCUCUGAUUCUUAAAUCAGGACAAAUAUUUAUCCGCAAUCGUCGCCACCCGAAAAUGGACAUAAAGUCAUCGGCUUAUUCUAUUCUUUACAUGCUGCAAUGGCGUCCGUACGACAAGAAGAAGUGCAACUUGACCUUAAUCAAACUCUUUCAGGAACAAUCGCGUUGAGUCUAGAUAAUACUGUCUGCUAUGAAGAUCUGGGAUGUAUUACCCGCUUCUCGUUUGCCGACCCACUUUUGUGGCCAAUUAAUUUGUUGCCCGAGCCCCGGGAUAAGAUUAAUACGCAUUUCACCCUGUACACCAGAGAACAACCCUACAAUACAGCAAAUUUUAUUCCAAUAUCGGCUAAAGACCCAAAUGGAAUAAUGGAGACGUCUUUCAAAGCUACUCGCCCAACGAAAUUUUAUAUCCAUGGAUGGCACGCUACCGGGUACGAAGCCCGUUACCAAACCUUUGUAGAAAGAUUGCUGGCAAACAGUGAUGUCAACGUCGUUUUCGCUCAUUGGGGAGGAGGAGCGAACACAAAUUGCGAUCAGGCCCACGCUAACACUCGUCUCGUUGGCUUGGAAAUCGCAUUUCUUGUCAACACCAUGAUAGAUAAAUUGGGAGUCAAGGCUUCAGAUGUUCAUUUGAUUGGACAUAGCCUUGGAGCGCACACAGGAGGCUACGCCGGAGAAAAAAUAUUUCAGCUGGGCCGAAUCACAGGUUUAGAUCCUGCCGCACCCUAUUUUCGUGGAAUGUCUCCUUUUGCUUGUUUGGAUCCUUCGGACGCUCUUUUUGUUGAUGCGGUUCACACCGACGGUGGUUUCUUAGGUAUUUAUCGCCCUGUGGGUCAUCUAGACUUCUACCCCAAUGGUGGCUUAGUUCAGCCCGGUUGCAAGCCUCCUUCUUGGCCACCUAGUACGAACGACUCGAUACUCUCUUGCGAUCAUGUGCGGGCCAUUUACCUGUACAGCGAAUCGUUUCUAUCCGACGACAGCUGCCAGAGCAUAGGAUAUGAGUGCUCCGAUUACGAAUCCUUCAACAAAGGUCAUUGCACAACUUGCGGAUCAGACAACACUCAGUGCGCUCCUUUUGGUUUGCAAGCCAAUACUUUCCCGAUCGGCGACAGGAUCAACGUCAAAAUUUUCUUUAACACCGGACCCAACUUCCCAUUCUGUAGAUACCACUACGCAGUCAACAUCAAUUUGGCUAAACCACAGGAAGCUAAGGAUCACAUCAAAGGAAAACUUCGAUUAUCUGUUAGUGGAGAUCAAGACAUUUUGCGAAACAUAAAACUUCCGCUGACAUAUUUAAAACAUGGAGGAGAUAACACAUUUCUCUUUGCUGUCCCAACUAACGUGGGUCGAGUCGAAAAAGUCAAUCUUCGUUGGAAGUACGCGAUGACGGAUUUGCUGGAUUGGCUGGAUGGGACUUGUUAUUUGGGGUUUUGUAAUCAAAGACUCUACGUUAACAGCGUUACGAUUUCGGAACUGAACAACUACCCUGAAGAGAAAAGAAUCGCCAACACUUUCAAGAACUGCCCGCAAUCUGUGCCCGGCGUCAUCAGAAAUCACUGUAAUUUGGAUUUCACCAUCGGAAAUAGUUGCGUGAAAACAUUUCAGCUACAUUUUACAUGGUUUCCGCUAUCGUGGUUUACUCGUCAAUCAGACCCGAGCACAAUUACAUCUCACUAAUUUAAAAAUGUCUUACUUAAAAUAGACUGAUGUGACUGUAGUUAGUAGCAAGCCUUUUUUCUAAUAGAAACGAAGGGUUUUUACGUUUGACGUUCACCCGAGCACAAUUCCAUCUCAUUAAUUUAAAUAUGUUUGCUAAAUUAUUGCGCAGGACUGUGUCUUAUUUAAAAUAAACUGAUGUGACUUUAAGUAGGAAGCCUCUUUUCUAUUAGAAACGAAAAGGGUUUUUACGUUGGAUCGAGUUAUACGAUUUUUGCUGGUGUUAUACAAUGGGCAAACG